rnacentral:rRNA from 1 species
UACAGAGGGUGCGAGCGUUGUCCGGAAUCAUUGGGCGUAAAGAGCGUGUAGGCGGCUUGGUAAGUCCGCUGUGAAAGUCCAGGGCUCAACCCUGGAAAGCCGGUGGAAACUGUCAAGCUUGAGUCCGGAAGAGGCGAGUGGAAUUCCUGGUGUAGCGGUGAAAUGCGCAGAUAUCGGGAGGAACACCUGUGGCGAAAGCGGCUCACUGGACCGCAACUGACGCUGAGGCGCGAAAGCUAGGGGAGCAAACAGG